UCUAGAUAUAAUGGAGAAAAAUCUUCAAGCAAUUCAAGUUAAAUUAAAUUCCAUGCAGGAGAAACUCACAAAGAUACAGGAACAGAUGGAUCAAAAGACAGUGUGAUAUUUCUAAUGGAUGAAAUUAGUCGGAAGAGGAGGGUUAGUGAUGAGGAACACACGUUGUCAGUAGCAGGUGGGGCACCGGAAGUUGCAAAAUUCGAUCACCCCUUUUUAUUGAACAGAGUGUUCAGCAAAAUGUCGUGUGGUAUUC